GUUUUGCUGGAGAUCCAUGUGAAUCUGAGGCCUUUUGAAGGUGAAAACCUUAAAAUCUGUGGUUAGAGAAUCCUGACUAAGCAACAAGAAGAAAAAGCUGAAUGCCAUCACCGAGAGAGGAAGUUCAUCACUUACUGGAACUCUGCAUUGUAUUUGCUUCAGAGAUUUUUUUUUUUUUGUAACAAAGGGCUCAAAGUGUCUGAUCUUAUGUUCCUUUCACAGUGAUUUCAGUGCAAGUUGUGUCUAGGAUGAGUCAGAAAUGUUCCUCUUGAACUACGUCAGGACAUACAGAAAAGGUGUUAAUGCAAAUGAAUGAUUGGGCUGUUUUUGAGCAGACCCAUGGUUAGAGUCCUGAGAAACCCAAAUACCAAGGGAGCCUGGCACUAUUUGGUGAUGUGUGUGACUUGAAGUUGAGACAAGAUGGUUUCUGUGUAAGAAACACUGAAAUAUGCAAUUGCAUUACAAAUAAGGUAUUGAUUACAAGGAAUUGAUUUCUCCAUGAUCAAGUUAAUGCAACAUCUCUAAACAAUAUAUUUUGGAUAUGCUUUAGAUGUUUAAAAAGUGUGUAGUUACAGAGCUAUGAGGAUAAGAUAGACUUCAUCAACAGACAUCCAAAUGCUGAUUUAAAAGACAUCAUCAAGUAGUUCUCCUUAAAUCUUCACAGACAAAGGCAACAACAAUUUGUCUUAAACCUAAUUCUGCAAAUAUGUCAGUAUGAAAACCCAGAAUUAACGGAGAUUGUUACAAAUUGAUAUUUUUUUCUGUAUUUGUUUCAUAAUUGCAAAUGAAGUCCUUUAAAUAACUUCCUACAUGGCAGAUUGGUUUCUACCACCCUUACAUGGCCUGUCAUCAAACAGUAAGAACUAGGAGCAUAUGUUAACCAUUGCCAGGAAUGAGGACUUCAGUGUAUGCAGUGGUGAACAUCUAACAGAGCACAUGACAAAUACCAUGGUUCAGAAGCAGAGGAGUAUAAAUGGAGAAGUAGAGGUCAUUGGAGGAUGUAGUUUGAAACAGUCUCUUUGCUGGGAUACUCUUUUUGUAUAAUUCUGUGGGAAUGGGAUUCAACCAACAGUGUUACAUUAAGAAAAACACAGGAAUACAAUGCCUGUUUCUUGAGAAUAAAUACAGUUUUGA
ensembl:lncRNA